UAGAGUCUCACUUAUCCAAGACUCCCUUAUCCAAGGUUCUGGAUUAUCCAAUGCAUUUUUGUAGUCAAUGUUUUCAAUAUAUCGUGAUAUUUUGGUGCUAAAUUCGUAAAUACAGUAAUUACAACAUAACAUUACUGCGUAUUGAACUACUUUUUCUGUCAAAUUUGUUGUAUAAAAUGAUGUUUUGGUGCGUAAUCUGUAAAAUCAUAACCUAAUUUAAUGUUUAAUAGGCUUUUCCUUAAUCUCUCCUUAUUAUCCAAGAUAUUCGCUUAUCCAAGGUUCUGCCAGCCCGUUUAGCUUGGGAGUCAAAUUCACUUACAGGACAAUCCAUUAUAGUGGAUCGGAAACAGCCCAGAAGACAUAUAUUCAACACAGAUAAAAGCAUGCAGAUAGUAGCUGAACAUCACAAGUAAGAACAUGCAUGUAGAAGAUACAAAAAGGACAUAAAACCUCCAUGCAUGUACCCUGAAAAGUCAGCCAGUGGCUGCCAACCAGAGACUGGGAUGUUAACAACACCUACAUGAAGGAUACCGGCUCUAGAUUGUCCGUAGAUGUGGCAGCCCUACCCACAGAGAACCAAAGAACUCACACCGAUGGAAAUGUGACUUGGAAUCCCCCAUUGAUCUGGGCAGCAGGCAUGUUUAGGAAGCAUAGGGCAUGCUAAUAUGGGGACUUUAGGGGGAAAGGUUGAGUCCAGGGAUGCCAUUGUUGCCCAUUGAGAUUUGCCACCUGAGGGGGUGACCCAUUCUUUUGUAGGACCAUCCCUAGUGAAGGGACCAUAAGCCAGAAAAUAGUAAACUUUUGCCUAUGUAGCUUUGCCUCUGCGUAUGCCCCUCCCUUCUUGUGAACUGGUGCCUUUCUAAGGGGUUGUUCCAAAGAGAGAAAAAGCUCAGAGUAAACAAGUGAGGUCACAGGUAUCAGUUAUGCCAAGUAGGUGUGGAAGGUGAGGAAGACCCUCAGCCAUUGGUCAAUUUUAGAUAAGCCAAAGGUAUAUAUUCUUUGUUUGCUACGCACAUGUUGCGACGGCCAUUUGCAUGGUACGGACCCACUAGAGUGGGUGCCUACGGCUGUUUGCCUUAUCAUCAGCUGUGAUGAUAAUAAAAGGCUUGUUUUAUUGCUCUCUUGGAAUUCUCUCCUUUACUUCCCCUCCGGGCUAGUCUCCAACACUAGUAAGGAAGUUCAAGUCCUUAUUUCCUUCAAAAAACGGGAAGGAAAUGAUUUCCCCACAAGUAGAGUAGAGAUAUCAGAUGUGUCACUUACCUGUGUCCAUCUUGCAAUGUUACUAUAAAUUGUACACUUUGCUAUUGCUCACAAGAUCUUGCUGACUGUCCGGCUACCAUGCAGCUGUGAAAAAGGCACAAAGCUGCCUUGCCAAGAAAGAGGGUGGCAGUCUUAACAAUCACUGUUUGUUUGUUUUUGUUUGCUUGCAAUUCAUUCUACAAAGUGCCAAGCAUAUGGUUUCUAUGAAGCACUACUGUAAAAGCAGAGGGGGUGGUCCUAUUUACUUAGACUGCAAGAAUGAGUAUGCAUGGUUAGCAUCAUAAUAAUUAAGAAAAUGUGGCGGGUUCGACAGGGGAAAUCACAGUUAAUUUCGUUGUUUGUGUAGGUGCUUGACCUGGUGCUAGAGGAACGGUGAGGAAAUAAUAUACCUGGUCUUUGCAAGUGUAGCUGUAGCAAGGUUUCUAGGGCUUCUGGAGAUCCCAUGAGAUGUGAGAUCUUACAGGAGCCCCAAACCCUUCAGGGAGAUCCUUGCCUUGUUGAACUUAGGUCAGGCCUCACAUAGGCUUCUUUCAUGUAUCCCAACCAUUAUCAACUAUCUCUUAUUGUUAUUUUGAAAACCUGGCAACCCUAUAUGCAACUUCCAUGGUCUGUGAAAGUAUUCAUCCCAUGGAUGGAAAUAAUGUCUUGAUUCCAGGACCUUAAAGGCUACAUGGAUGAAAGGAGAAGAUAGAAUUAUGAAAACAAGAAAUAUAUAAGAUCUCAGAAGGGAAGAAAGUGCUUUUUAUGCAGCCUGGAUUUGCAGGCUUCUAACUGGGAUGGGUAGAGUGACCUGAGAUGGGGGGAAAAAGAAAAAAAACAACAUCUCUUUUUAAGUUUUGCCAGCUAUUGUGAAAACAGGAAAAGGGUUCCUGUACCUAGAAUGGAUAUAUAAAAAGGGGAAUGUCAGCCCAUGUUGCUUGUGACCUGGCAGUAUGGAAAUCCAAUCUUGUUGAAAUUCCUUCCUCUAGCCAACCAUUAAAGGCACAGAAGCCUUCUCCAGUUUUUCCUCCGGCGAUUCUUAUCUGCCAGCAUAACUGUUCUGUGUCUGUCUUCAGCUAGUGUUAUGCAUUCGUGAGGGAUAAUUUUGCCCUUGCCAGUUUCUGAGGCUCAUUUGCUGGAAAUAAGAGAUGACAGAGUCUUGUCUGUUGUUUUAACUGCUCUCUGUUUUUAUGAUUAUGAACUCAUCAAGAAGGACAUUUGGUAUUUGGGCUGUUUAUAUAUUUUACAAACACGAUCUCUAAAGGCAUGCUCUCCAACCUUUCGCAGAUGAAAACGGGGCCAAGCAGCAUCAGAGUGUGUGGUCAAGAUGGUAAACAACAUUAUCGAUGAGAAAGAACAAAGAAACCAGGAGAGAAUGUAGCAGGUUGUUUUGCCUGCACCUAUUGGGAAAGCCACUAUUCCACACCUUCCUCUCCUGCUCCCCCUGCUGAGUGAAAACUGCUUCUGUACUUUGAACUCAAUUUGCAGCAAGUGAAGUAUGCUGAAGACAAAGGGGGAAAAGUGGGAGGAGAGGAGAGAAACUGGGACAUUUUAAAAUCAACUGAAAAGGUGGCGAGAUAAAGGCUUAGUACGGAAUGUCCCUGCCAAAUCAGGACAUCUGAAGGAUAUAUACAUGGCCAAUAAUCUAUUCUAGUAGUUGCCACUGGUUCGUGGAUCAAGUGGGGACAGUGGUUUCUCCCAUGUUCUGUGCCCGAUCCAAUAGAAACAUAGCCAGAUAUUCCUGGAUGUUAGAUUGAUAUGCAGAGCUAUAAAGAGACCAUUUUUGUUGGAAUGGGUAUACACAGAGACAAAAAUGGAGUGAGCGGCAGAAUGUAAAUGAGUAAAAUAGAUUAAAUAGAUUUCUAUAAAAAAUAAUUUCUAAAUGCAAUGACAAAAACAACACUUACCUAAUGCAUUUUAAUUAGGAAAUAUGUUGUGAAGCUUCCAAAAAAGCAAAUCUAUAGAAAACACAGCCUCGUACACUUUCAAGAAGAAGUGCAAACCAAUGCUUCUCAAGUUAUUUGAUGUGAGGGACUGACAGUUAUUUUGUUGCAAUGUGCCAUGGGCUGUACAUAGCAAAUAGACCAUAUUUGUUUCCAUUUGCUAUAAUCAUGCAUUCCUUUCCUGGAAACCCACCAGGGACCAGCACUUGUCUGAGAUCCACCACUUUGAGAAGCAUUAGUGGGAAAAAAGACAACAACGUCUCUUGUCUAGGAAGUAAAUGUAUUCUGUGAAGUCAUUCGGCUAUAAAGGGCUCACUUUUCA